UGCAAGAUGUGCUUUGUUAAACAGAUGCUUGAAGGCAGCAUGCUCGUUAAGAGUCAUCACCACUCCCUAAUCUCAAGUACCCAGGGACACACACACUCUGCCUAGGAAAACCAGAGACCUUUGUUCACUUGUUUAUCUGCUGACCUUCCCUCCACUAUUGUCCUAUGACCCUGCCAAAUCCCCCUCUGCGAGAAACACCCAAGAAUGAUCAAUAAAAAUAAAUAAAUAAAUAAAUAAAAGAAGAGAUGAUGAAGAAGGCACCAGGGGCAUGUGCCAGCUAUUUCUUCAGAAAGUUCUUCCAAAGAACUUUCACUUCUCCUUGCAUCCCAUUGGUCAGAAUUUGGUCACAUGGCCACACCAAGCUACAAGAGCCCCCACUCCGGGGGCAAGCCAGCUGCCGCAUCACGAGGACAUCCACGCAACCUAUAGAGCUGCUCAGGAGGAACUGAGGCCGGCUGCCAAUAACCAGCACCAACUUGCCUGCCGUGUGAGUGAGCCAUCUGGGAAACCAAGCCUCCAGCCUCCAUGAAGCCUGCAGGUAACGUCAGCCCUCCAGUCUUCCGGUCUUCCAGCUGAGGCCCCACACGUCGUGGAGCAGAGCCAAGCCAAUCCCGUCAUGCCCUGAAUUCCUGAUCCACAGAACUGCGAGAGAAUACAUGAAAAUUGUUUUAAGCCACUACGCUCUGAGAUAGUUUGUUAUGCAGCAGACAACAACUGAUGUAACAGUGGCAGGUGUACACGGAGUGCCAAGGGAAUGCAAAGAACGGACACUUAGGGGCUUGGAGUGGUGGCUCAUGCCUGUAAUCCCAGCACUUUAGGAGGCUGAGGCAUGAGAAUCACUUGAAACCAGGAGUUCAAGACCAGUUUGGGCAACAUACGAGACCCCUGUCUCUACAAAAAAAUUUUAAAAAUUAGCUGCCCACACUGGCACAUGCCUCUAGUCCCAGCUACUCUGGAGGCCGAGGCAGGAGGAUGGCUUGAGUCCAGGAAUUGGAGGCUGAAGUGAGCUAUGACUGCACCACUGCACUCCAGCCUGGGAGACAGAGUGAGACUGAGACCCUGUCUCAAAAAAUAUAUAUAUUAUAAAUACUUAAUUCUAAAUUUUAUGAUAUAAUUGUAUUGAGAGGAUAGGGGAAGGGAAAGAGUUUUGUGUGGGGGUGUAAAAGUUAAAUCCUCAUUUCCUGUUUUAAGAAAUCAUAGAUCGUAUCUAAAAUAGAAAAAUCAAGGAAUAGCUAUACAAGCAAGUUAUUUAGAAACUGGAGCUGGGCUCAUGCCUGUAAUCUCAGCACUUUGGGAGGCCGAGGCAGGAGGAUCACCUGCGGUCAGGAGUUCAAGGGUAGCCUGGCCAACAUGGUGAAACCCCAUCUCUACAGAAAAUACAAAAAUUAGCCGUGUGUGGUGGCACGCGCCUGUAGUCCCAGCUACUCAGGAGGCUGAGGCACGAGAAUCGCUUGAACCCAGGAGGCGGAAGUUGCAGUGAGCCAAGAUCAUGCCACUGCACUCCAGCCUAGGUGACAGAGCAAGACUCUGUCUAAAGAAAAAAAAAAAAAAAACAGAAAAGAAACCAAGAGGCAUAUACUGGAAGAAACAACUGAAGAAGUUGGUUGAAUCCAAGAAGCAGGUCAAGAGUAGAAAGAGCAGGGAUUGCUUUUCACCAUUGUUAACCUUUUAGUACAAUUUGACUCUUAAAAUUAUGUAUGUGUAUAACUUGACAAAAUAAAAACAAACUAAAAAAAGGUCAGAGAGAAGGAGCAAUAAAAUAGGAGAUUUAGGUGGAGCGAUGGAACAUGUUGUUCUUUGUAUUUUAUUUUAUUUAUUAUUAUUAUUAUUAUUAUUAUUAUUUUGAAACAGAGUUUCCCUCUUGUUGCCCAGGCUGGAGUGCAGGGGCGCGAGCUCAGCUCACCACAACCUCUGCCUCCUGGCUUCAAGCAAUUCUCCUGCCUCAGCUUCCCGAGUAGCUGGGAUUACAGCCAUGUGCCACCACGCCCAGAUAAUUUUGUAUUUUUAGUAGAGAUGGGGUUUCUCCAUGUUGGUCAGGCUAGUCUCGAACUCCCAACCUCAGGUGAUUCGCCUACCUUCACCUCAGGUGAUUCACCCUCCCAAAGUGCUGGGAUUACAGGCGUGAGCCACCACACCCAGCCUGUUCUUUGCAUUUUAAAUUAAGGGGCAGGGCACAUCAAACUAUUUAAUAUGUGCAAUGAACAAUAAAAUAUAUCCUUAGGAUUUAUAUGGGGCAAUUAUAGAGCAAAGAUACAGGAAGAGAUCGAUGUCAGGAGACAGUGUGAUGGAGAAACAAAGGACAGAAGGAAAGAGAGGGGAAGAGAUAGAAACAAAUGCCAAGACCCAGGAAAACACAGAAAGACAUAACCCAGCCUCAUAUAAACUCAAAGUGAGAAGGUGGAGAGACAUAAAGAAAUCCACAGGUGGCUGGGCGUGGUGGCUCACGCCUGUAAUCCCAGCACUUUAGGAGGCCGAGGCGGUGGAUCACCUGAGGUCAGGAGUUCGAGACCAGCCUCGCUAACAUGGAGAAACUCCGUCUCUACUAAAAAUACAAAAAGUAGGCGUAGUGGCACAUGCCUGUAAUCCCAGCUACUCCAGAGGCUGAGGCAGGAUAAUUGCUUGAACCCGGGAGGUGGAGGUUGCAGUGAGCUGAGAUUGGGUCACUGCACCGCAGCUUGGGCGACACAGCGAGACUCCAUCGCAAAAAAAGAAAAAAGAAAGAAAUCCAUGGGCUAUGGAAGUAUGUACGCUCACUCAGGCACACACCACCAAGCGUGAUGAAGACCCAAGUCUACAUAGAUAGCACCUCACACUUUUGUUAAAUAGCACAGAAUUAAAGAAUUAUCCCAGCCUGGACAACAUGGCAAAACCCUGUCUCUAUCAAAAGUACAAAAAUUAGCCAGGUGUGGUGGUGCGCGAUGUAGUCCCAGCUACUUGGGAGGCUGAGGUGGGAGGAUCUCCUGAACCCAGCAGGCUGAGGUUGCAGUGAGCCAUGAUCACACCACCGCACUCCAGCUUGGGCAACAGAGUGAGACCCUGUCUUACAAAAAAAAGAAAAAAAAAAAAAGAAAAGAAAGAAAAGGAAAGGAAAGGAAAAGAAAAGAAAAAAUGAUUGUUGAGGUAGGAGGCAAGACUCAACUCCAGAGGCAGGGCACGGACACCAGACCAAAUUGAGGACCAACUAAAAAUGGGUUGGGACAGAAGCAGCUUUCCAUAAAGACAUCCCUUCCAGAGUGCCAUGUCAGUUUACCGUUGCCAUGACAACACCCAGAAGUUAUCUCCCCUUUCCAUGGCAACCACCUACCGACCUGGAAGUUACCACCCUCAUCCUAGACAUUUCUGCAUAAGCCACCCCUUAAUUUGCAUAUAAUUAAAAAUGGGCAUAAAUGAGUUUAGGUCUGCCUCUCAGCUGCUAUUCUGGACACAGUGCCUAUGGGUCAUCCCUGCUCUGCAAGGAGCCGUACCUUUGCUGCGGCUGUGCACUGAAGCUUCAAUAAAAGUUGUAACACUGGCUGGACACGAGUGCUCAAACCUAUAAUCCCAGCACUUUGGGAGGUGGAGGUGGGCGGAUCACUUUAGCUCAGGAGUUCAAGACCAACCUGGGCAACAUGGUGAAACCUCGACUCUACAAAGUACAAAACAUAUUAGCCAGGCAUGGUGGUGUGUGCCUGUAGUCCCAGCUUCUCAGAAGACAGGGGUGAAGGAUUGCUUGAGCCCAGGAGGCAAAAGUUUCAGUGAGACUUGAUCAUGCCACUGCACUCCAGCCUGGGUGACAGAGUGAGACCCUACCUCCAAAAAAAAAAAAAAGUCUUGUUCUACCAGCUAAUUGGAUUGGCAGGGACCUCCUUUUUAAUAUAUAUAUAUAGGUAUGUGCCACCGCACCUGGCUAAUUUUUGUUUUUCUUUUUUUUUUUUUUUGAGAUGGAGUCUCGCUCUGUUGCCCAGGCUGGAGUGCAGUGGCGUGAUCUCGGCUCACUGCAAGUGGGUUCAUGCCAUUUUCCUGCCUCAGCCUCCCGAGUAGCUAGGACUACAGGCGCCUGCCACCAUGCCCGGCUAAUUUUUUUUUUUUUUUUUUUUUUUUGUAUUUUUGGUAGAGACAGGGUUUCAUGUGCUAGCCAGGAUGGUCUCGAUCUCCUGAUCUCGUGAUCCACUCACCUUGACCUCCCAAAGUGCUGGGAUUACAGGUGUGAGCCACCGGGCCUGGCCUAAUUUUUGUAUUUUUAGUAGAGAUGGGGUUUUGCCAUGUUGCCCAGGCUGGUCUUGAACUCCUGGGCUCAAGUGAUUCACCUGCCUCGGCCUCCCAAAGUGUUGGGAUUACAGGCGUGAGCCGCCACGCCAGGCCUCAUGAGUUUCUUAUGUAGCUGUAUCAAACUUGUUUCUCUUUUGAACUGUGAUUACAGUUCCAGUGUUCAUAUGUUGCCCUGCAAGUAGGUUAUAAGUGCAUGGGGGACAGGAACCAAGCCUUAUCUACUGAAGAAUCUUCCUCGGGCCCAGCUUCCAGGGAGGCUCUGAAUUUGAAGCCCCUCUCUGCCAUUCACUUGCUGUGUGACUUUGGGCAGGUUACUUGACCUCUCUGUGUGUCAGAGCUUUUAUCUUCAGAGAUACCACUGGGUUGAAUGACAUAAAAUUGCCAAUAUUCUAUUAUAUUUGACCCCAAAAUGGCAAUUUCAUAUAGUUCAACCUAAUAAAACCACUACCUCUUAGGUAUUUUGAGGGUUAAUUGUCAUGUCUAUUGUACCCCAGGCAAGCACCAUCCUGCUGAGUACAAAGUGGACCUGAUAGUAAAGCCCCUCAGACUUUGUGGAACAAAAGCAGAACCCUAGGAACGGCAGAGCAACCAGUUAGAAAGAGCCUGGCUCCUGAUGAACUGCAGCUUCCGUAUCUGUUAUGGAUUGCUAAUGUCUGGACCCUUAUAUGAGCAAGAUGUAAUCCCCCAUUUAGGUUAAACCACUGUUCUUUGGGUCUGGGUUUUUUGUUUGUUUGUUUUUUCUUUGAGACGGAGUCUCGCUCUGUCUCCUCAGCUGGAGCGCAGUGGCGUGAUCUUGGCUCACUGCAAUCUCCGCCUCCUAGGUUCAAGCGAUUCUCCUGCCUCAGCCUCCCCAAGUAGCUGGGACUAAAGGCGCCCACCACCACGCCCAGCUAAUUUUUGUGUUUUUAGUAGAGAUGAGGUUUCGCCAUGUUGACCAGGCUGGUCUCAAACUCCUGAACUCAAGUGAUCUGCCCCUCUUGGCCUCCCUAAGUGCUGGGAUUACAGGUGUGAGCAACCAUGCUCAGCCUGGGUCUGUUUUGAAAGAGGUAAACUGACAUCUUAAUUAAUAAUGGGUGUGUGUCAGAGAGAAAUAAACCAUGUACUUCCACAUAGAGAUUUCUGCCUUAAGGCCGGGCACAGUGGCUCACACCUGUAAUCCCAGCACUUUGGGAGGCCAAGGCGGAAGGAUUAUCUGAGGUCAGAAGUUCCAGACCAGCCUGUACAACAUGACGAAAC
rnacentral:lncRNA from 10 species